CGGCUUUGCCAACUGCGGCUAAGGCCUUCGCUCUGAUUGGCCCGCGUUCACGUGCCUUGCUCUUCCGUAGCAUUUCCACUGCCGGGAGCGUUCGGUUUUGAGAGGCAGGUUCGACGAGAACGGUCCAUUGCGGCUGAACAGCAGAGAUGGGGCUGGAUUGGAUUGGUUUUGGCUAUGCAGCCUUAGUGGCUUCUGGUGGAAUCAUGGGCUAUGCAAAAGCAGGUAGUGUCCCAUCUUUGGCUGCUGGUCUUCUUUUUGGAGGUUUAGCUGGACUGGGAGCUUACCAACUGUCUCAAGACCCAAAGAACAUUUGGCUUUCCCUAUUUGCUUCUGGAACCUUAACUGCCAUUAUGGGUGUGAGAUUCUACAAUUCAAGGAAAUUCAUGCCUGCUGGAUUGGUUGCUGGUGCAAGUUUGCUGAUGGUUGGAAGACUUGGACUGAAGAUGAUAAAUGAAAAGGCUCAUGAGAGAUAAAAGAACAUUCCAUGUGGUUUUGGCAUGUGGAUAAGAAGACUGAAACGCAUCAGGUCAAAGACUAUGAAGGAGGGAGAGAAGUAAAAGACCAGAAGAAACAGCCGGAUCAGCCCUACCAUUGGACAAAGUGAGGUAUGACAAAAGCAGCUAUGGGGAUUGCUCUCUACUUGCUGCCUUAUGCUUGAGUUCAAGUGCGGGCUUAGACCACCACAUAAGCUGUUGCUCUCUGCAUCACAUAUCCACCAUGGGAAUCUGUCAGGCUCCAGCCUCUGAUUUACUCAGCAUUCCUCCCUGGCCUCCAUCUGGAAACCAGCAUUUUUUAAAUCAAAAGUGAGCAGCCUCUUCUGCCAGACAGGUUGCAAGGAUCACUGAAUUAGUAUGUGAUGCACACUGAACAUUUUUUAAAAAGAGAGUACUAUGCAAUAAAAAGCACAGUCAGCAUGGUCCAAAGGUAGGGCUCCUAUCCAUCUUUGGUACAGAUAAGGGCAAAUCUUGCACAGAAUCCUUGUUGAAGAGUAAGACAGGUGGCAGUCAGGAUAGAAAAUGUGAAACUCCUGUGGGAUACCUGAAUGUGAAAACAGCGGUGGGGUGGGGUGGGGUGGGGGGUACACACCGGGUGGCUGGUUUGCAAAAGUCUGAAGAACUGCAUUCACUGAGAAACUGACACACAAAGAAAGGGGGGUGCUUCCAAACAGCGGUUCUAUUGUGCACUCACCCUGCUUCAAAGGUGGAGUUGUAUAAGACAUCUUCCAUGCGUCGCCCUCCUGAGUUUUCCCACUGCUUUUUUCCACAGCUAAGCCUUUUUGUCUUGUGGCAAAAAACCCUUGAAGAAGAAAAGAUGAUACAAUGCCAUUCGAUUGCUAGUGCUAGGAGUCUUUCUGGAAGCAUGCAAUCAUCCUAUGAAUGCAGCAACUGCUUUGCUGGGGUACAACAACAGUUUGUGAAGGCCAGCCCCUUGUCUGUUGGCAGAAGCCUCAGCAAUUUGAUUCAUAAACCAGGCCUAACCCUCUUGACUUCCAGCACAACUGUGAAUCACAACAUCUGAUCCUCAGAGAGAUCAAGCUGGCUGAAAGCAUGGACAGAGAGACGGGAUCCAUCCAAGUCCAACUCCAGGACAUCUGAAAACACAGGGCUAGUGCUGCGUGAACACCCACCCAUGCAGAAAGAAAUUACUGCUACAGUAACUUAACAAUCAAAGUCCAUCACUUAAUCUAUGGUUAGCCUAGGGCACAAUUAGUAUUUCUGCAAUUUGCAACUGUAUAAAUGUUUUGUUUUUUAAAGUACAUAAGCAUUGGGGAUGGGGAUGCAAUCUAGGCCUCACAUGGGGAGAAAAAGUGCAACUUUUCCCUCAUUACCAUCUUAUUCAACUCUGGGGUGGGGCCUCUGCCUGCUUUUUGCUUUGGAAGAAAGGCUCUCAUUCAUACCAAUGGAAGCUUUUAUUCUCACACAUAUAGCAGGUGCAGGGACCACAAUUCUAACUGGAACAGUGGUGCAGAACAAACUCUUAAAACUGCACUGCCUCCAGUUUCCACUUUCUGGAGUGUUUGCAUUAUGCCUUCCCUCUGCUUUUACAAACUAGUUUUGUCUUACAUCUUCACAUCAUAUCAGUUCACUAGACUGGGAUACAACCUUGUGUUUAGCUUAGCCUUGAAAUCAUACAAUGAGUAGCAUUCCUUUGGCUUAUUUAAAAUGUACAAGAAGGAAAGGAACAAAAAUGCUAUUCAUAGGGAAUGCUUGUUUGAUUUGCCUUGAGUUUUAUUUCUAUAUAUUGGAGAGUUUUGGAGUUGCAAAUGUUUCCAUGGCACACUUCUAAUGUACUAAUACAGGAAAAUAUAUAUGUAUUCACAAUGCAGUGCAUAGAGGCAAAAGAAAAUGAAAUGAAUUUGUAAAAAUAAUAAAAUGAUUUAUUCUGCUGGGCAUGACCAAGCCAAAAGGAAGAAAGACUUAUUGUUUCAUCUUUGCUGCCAUCUUCUAUGUGAUUUAAAUAUGAAAUGAACAUAUUAUCAAUAAGCAAAUAAAGGAAAUUUAGUUACUCUA